GAGAGGUGCUGCGUGGCUGUCGUCAGCUCGUGUUGUGAAAUGUUGGGUUAAGUCUCGCAACGAGCGCAACCCCUAUCGUCUGUUGCCAGCAUUAAGUUGGGCACUCUGACGAGACUGCCUGGGUUAACCAGGAGGAAGGUGGGGAUGACGUCAAGUCCUCAUGGCCCUUAUGUCUAGGGCUACACACGUAAUACAAUGGCGCGUACAGAGGGAAGCGAACCAGCAAUGGGGAGCAAAUCUCAAAAAGCGCGUCUCAGUCCGGAUUGGAGUCUGCAACUCGACUCCAUGAAGUUGGAAUCGCUAGUA
rnacentral:rRNA from 1 species